ensembl:lncRNA
UCUCUCUCUCUCCCUUUCACUCUCGUUCUCUCUCUCUCUCUCUCUCUCUCGUUCUCUCUCUCUCUCUCUCUCUCUCUCCCUUUCACUCUCGUUCUCUCUCUCUCUCUCUCUCUCUCUCUCUCUCUCUCUCUCUCUCUCUCGUUCUCUCUCUCUCUCUCUCUCUCUCUCGUUCUCUCUCUCUCUCUCUCUCUCUCUCGUUCUCUCUCUCUCGUUCUCUCUCUCUCUCUCUCUCUCAGACAGUCAAAGAGACACAGAGACAAUAAUAAAUGAUACUUUUUGUAAUUGCUUGCAUGGCUGAUUCUGGAACAUUCUCACUAAUCUUUAUUGAUGAGGAACUCAUGAUGGAGCAGCAGAAUGAAUUCCGAAGUUUACUAAAACAUUCUGUCCCCAAUUCACAGAGAAAUGCCUCCAGAUGAAUCAGGAGGAACUUCAUCAUGCAGCGAGACAACGAUCCAAAACACACUUCCACCUCAACACAGGACUUCAUCAGGGGAAAAGUGGAAGGGUUUAGACUGGACAUGUAAAUCAGCAGACCUUCACCCGACUGAUCAUCUCACCUCCUGAAGAGGAGACUGAAGGGAGAAACCCCCCGAAACACACGACUACUGAAAGAAGCUGCAGGAGAAACCUGGAGAAGCUUCACAGGAGAAGAAACCAGCAGUUUGGUGUCAGUGAGGCGCAGGAGUGAUGCAGUUACUGCGAGUCAGGGAAAUGCAAUCUCUGUCUUCGAUCUCAAACCCGGAUGUCUCUGGUGUACAGCACAAACACCUGAACUGGCCUCGCCGCUCCAGUAGUUUUGGAAGUGACUGUAUGAACAUAAAAAUCAGUACUGGACAUUGUACCUCCCGGACAAAAAGCACGAUCUAAAUAUGUGUUGUCAACAUUAUAUUUUAACACAAUGCUUAAUAAUGUAUCCAGUCAUAAAUAAAUAUUAUUCUAAUUCAUUUCUCUACUAUUUCCACAAAUAAUACUGGAAGAGGAGCUCAAGACCCUGAAAGCGUGUUGAUCGAGUUGUCGAUAUGUUGGUGUGACUGCGACACCUAGUGUUCAUUCCAGGAACAUGAACUCCUUCUCAUCCC